rnacentral:lncRNA from 1 species
CCAUUUUAACACCAUAGUUAGGGUCAGGGAACCUAGCUAUGAGGAUAUCUGCCUGUCCCUGUGCAUGCUGAUUUUUCUUCAAAGAAAAUUACGUUUUAACUAAUGGGAUGCGAUAUAUAUAUGUAUUGUGAUGAAUGAUAUUGUUUUGGCUGUUUGAAGACUGUGCGUGUGGAAAUGAUAUUGUUGUGUUUGUUUGAAUUGUUGUUGAUGUUGCUAUUGAGGAUUUUAAUUGAUAUGUGAUGAUAAUGAUGAUUAUGAUGAUAUUGAUUUGAGAUGACAUUGUUAAUAAAGACCAUGUCAACAUGAAUUGUUAUUAUUGAUGAAUAUGUGAAUAUGAAAUGAGGUUGUUGUUGUUGUUGAUAACAUCAUUGAGAUGAGAUGAUAUUUAUGUUGUGAAUGACAUGGAAAUAGGAUUUGUUCAUUGAUGUUGGAAAUGCAUUGUCAUGUGCAUGUUAUGUAUGUUCGUGGGGGGCAUUGUGCAUUGACCUUUCAGGGUCUUUGGCACUAGCUUUUGGCCACGUUCAUACGUUGGAUGUUGUGUAUGAUCGUGGGGGGGCACUAUGCACUGACCUUCCAGGGUCUUUGGCACUAGCUUUUGGCCACGAUCAUACGUCGUAUGAAGUGUAUGUCAUGGGGGGGUAGAGUGCACUGACCUUGUCGGAUGGCCCAGACGUGGGUAACUAGCGUGGUUAGAGAAUCUAAGCAUUCCUGAGGGGAUGCUUAGGUGCUUUAAUUGGUCCAUGGUCUUGGGCACUUACUUUUGGCCGUGAUCAUAGCUCAUACGACAUAGGAAAUAGAGUAACUGUGGCCAAGUGUACUUUGUACUAGAGGGCUGUCACCUGGUAGGGAACACCUUUGGGCUCCCAGGCUUAUCACCUAUGGGAGGGGGGCUGUUACGUGCACAACUGGGUGGUCUCGAUAAACUCAGCACAGUUCCCUAAGUGAGAGUGUCGUGUGGACACACUUAGGCUAUUUCCUGAGGUUUGGUUGUUGUUGGUACGUACCACAUUGCAUCUGAGUGUUGAGUCAGGUGCAUGCAUCAUUUUGUGCAGUCUUGAUUGGGUCCAUGGAUGGAUGAUGAGUAAUCGUUGGAUGUGAAUGAUGAAUAUUUGUUGGAUAUGAGUGUUGAAUAAUGAUUGUUGUGUAUGCUUAUCAUGUUUGCCUAUGUUCCUUGCUAAUUGUGG